AAGUAAAAGUCGUAACAAGGUUUCCGUAGGUGAACCUGCGGAAGGAUCAUUAUUGAAAUAAAUCUGAUAAGUUGCUGCUGGUUCUCUAGGGAGCAUGUGCACACUUGUCAUCUUUAUAUCUCCACCUGUGCACUUUUUGUAGACUUGGAUAUCUCUCUGAAUGCCAUCAUUCAGGUUUGAGGAUUGACUUUCUGUCUCCCCUUACAUUUCCAGGCCUAUGUUUCUUCAUAUAGCCUUUAUCUAUGUUACAGAAUGUAAUAAAAUGGGCCUUUGUGCCUAUAAACCUAUACAACUUUCAGCAACGGAUCUCUUGGCUCUCGCAUCGAUGAAGAACGCAGCGAAAUGCGAUAAGUAAUGUGAAUUGCAGAAUUCAGUGAAUCAUCGAAUCUUUGAACGCACCUUGCGCUCCUUGGUAUUCCGAGGAGCAUGCCUGUUUGAGUGUCAUUAAUAUAUAUAUAUCAACCUCUUCGGCAUUUUGCUUGUUGAGUGUUUGGAUGUGGGGGUUUUUUUUUUGCUGGCUCCUCUCUUCUGAGGUCAGCUCCCCUGAAAUUCAUUAGCGGAACAAUUUGUUGACCGUUCAUUGGUGUGAUAACUAUCUACGCUAUUGACGUGAAGCAGUUCAGCUUCUAACAGUCCAUUGACUUGGACAAAUUUUCAUUAAUGUGACCUCAAAUCAGG
rnacentral:rRNA from 1 species